GGACCAAGCCUGUCUAUCACUCGCCAACAAAUAAGUACUGUCAUGACGACAAUGCGCUCGUG
rnacentral:rRNA from 1 species